rnacentral:lncRNA from 1 species
AUGAAGAUACAAAUGAGUGAGGAUGUUUGCAGCAUUGUUUAUGAUGAUAAACAAAAAUUGAAAAUAACAGAAAUGUCAACCUGGACUUUUACCAGACCUUUUUAUGUCUCUUUUGCCAUAUCUAGGCAGAAUGUAAUUUCAAUAACCCUGAGAGUUGAACGAGUUGGGAACUCAGAUGACUAUAUCGUAACACUCACAGUUACAAGUCAUGUACCUGUAUACUUAGUGGUUAAAGCCACACUCGAAGGCUCUGAUGAUGUAACUUUUCCUUAUGGUAAUUUUGUUUACACGGCCUGUCUGUGUCCUAACUGUUCAAAAAAUUUCUUCUGGGACAUACAAGGACCUGGUAAGUGAAGAAGCUUCCUGCCUGACCGUUAGUGGCAGAUAAGGGGGAAUGCAAGGAGAGGAUAAAGUGAAAAGGGGUAAUCAAGACAUGGCCAAAAGCAGAGAAAAAAGGGAGUGAAGCAAAAAUGAAACACAAGACGUACAGGCAGUGUGAGCAAUGGCUCUAUGCGGAGGAAGUGAGGGCGGCUGGUAAAGGCUGCGUCUUGUAUAGGAGCCUGAGAAACGGGGCUGAGUGUCAGACAGUAAAAGGCAGGGUAGAAUGGUUUGUCGGUGGAUUCCAGCUGUCUAACAGAGCCUUGCUUCUUCUCUCUAGCAAAUGGGAUCCUAAUAGGGAAGGCUGAAGUCGUGUCAGAGGAAAAUAUAUGCCCUUCUGAUGUGGAAAUCUCCACCCCUGUUUACAAAGUUUGUAGCAAGCGUGAAAUCGUCGUAACACUCUGAUCUGGAGAGUCUGCUAACUCUGAGGUUGUGAGCAUCUGUGUGGAAUAGAAAAUAAACCUCCCACUGGCUUCUCACUGUGCUGUCUGUGUUCCUUCCCCAAAUCUUAGUACAGUGUCUGCUCAGACACCACAGUGUCCUAAUGAAUCAGUAUUUUAAUAAACCUUCUCAGGGAUGAUAAAUAAGCAUCCAUUUCCUAGCAGACGAGAAGAAAGAGAAGACAGGAAUUUACUCUCACCAUUAAAGUGGGACAGGAAAUAUCCAGAGGGAGAACUGCCCCUAGGGCUUAAAUUAAGGGCAGAACUGAGCGAUGGUUCUAAGGAGCGGUACCCAACCUUAUUGGAAUGAGGGACCAGUUUUGUGGAAGGCAAUUUUUCCAUGGACCUGGUGGUGGGGGGUGAUUUGGGGAUGAUUCAAGCACAUUAUAUUUAUUAUACACUUUAUUUCUAUUAUUAUACCAUCAGUUCCACCUCAGAUUAUCAGGCAUUAGAUCCCAGAGGCUGGGAACCCCAGAAUUAAGUUUCCCUUCUAUUUUAGGACAAUUACAUCCAGCUGCCUCUCCCAGUUAUUGGAAAGUUCAAUGAAUCUGAAGUCCUAAAAUUAUUAUCUCUUGCUGCUCCUGAAAUGGUAGCAAGGAAUAUACUCAUAGGAGCUCAGGUUUGCUGGGAUCCUGACCAGGAUGUUCCUUCCCUUCACCCAAGCUCCUUCAUCACAAUAAACCAAAACAAAAAGCAAGUAGAUACCUAUUGCUAGCGAGAAUGAGGGGCUAUGGGAACCAUUCAGNNNNNNNNNNNNNNNNNNNNNNNNNNNNNNNNNNNNNNNNNNNNNNNNNNCCAGAGACGGCAGCCCACCAGGCUCCCCCAUCCCUGGGGUUCUCCAGGCAUAUAUAAAUAGGUGAAGCCAUCUGGAGAACCACCUGACCUUACUUAAAUUAUGUACAUACCUUCUGAUCCAGCACUUCCAUAACCAAAGGUGAUGGCAAGAGAAAGCAUUUUGAUUCCUGAACUCCUAGGCCUCUCUGUUCUAGUUGUCAAAGACAAAGGACCACUGAAGCACCGAUUUGUUUCAAAAUACAUUCCAUAUCUUGAAGGAUAUCACCCUACACCUACAGGGUGUGAUUCUCAAGUCAUUUCCAUAACUGUUCAUGUAUGAGCUCUCCCAGCAUGCCAUAGGGGCAGUAGUUUCCCGACAAUGUAAUUGAUGAAAAUCAGCACACACCUUGAUCACGUGCCUGUUGUAAGAACUUGUUCAUCUGAAGAAAGGAUUCCGUUGAUCUAAGGAGAUAUGAGAUGGGUCUAGAAGUCAAAUACUCUGUGAGUCCUCAGACAGUAAUGCUGACUAGGAGCUAUCUCCAUCUCAUUUAAUACCUGUGGUGGAGUCCUUGUUGCACUGUCACAGAUGGAUUGAU